UGUAUUGGAACUCCUUUGCCAUCGUAUCCUCACUCAUGCUUUUUCCCCUACGGUGACCGCCAUGGAAAAAGUCUGCAGGUAGGAGAUCUUCAAGGUGAAUGAGGAGGUGAACGGCCCAAUCUCUGCCCAUCGUGAUGGGUUCAUUACCCACUGUCCUUCACAAACAUCCCGAAUGGUCCUUUGUAGCGCAGCCGUCCAGUUUCCUGUUGGAUAUUGACAUCAUGCAGAGUCACCGUUUCACCAUAAUCUUUGCCUCUAGGUACAUAUCAACACAGCAGAUUUCUUUUUAAAACCUAGUAUUGAAGAUUGAAUAUCUUUCCCCAUUGUAACCUUACAUCACUCUCCCAAGGACAAAUAUGAAAACUCAAGGUAUCUGAGGCCCGGACACACCUCCAUGACUAGCCGGCUGCCUCGGAGCUGGGGACUCCAUGCUUCCUGCCAUCAGCAGAUCCAGCCCCAGAAACAGACGAGUUUACAAUCAUCUCUGAAAACUGCCACGAAUGGGUGUCCUGUUCUAAGCCGGGUCACCCAGGAAGGACGGGGGUAAGAGGGACAUUUUGCUCCAGAAACAGAAUGUCCAAAAAGGCCCAGUCCAUUAUUUUCCCCAGAAACGGCUGGAGGAGAGUAAAAUCCCAACAUGAGCCUCGAAGGCCUCUGUGCCCAGGGGAUGGCAUUGCCGGCUGAGGAGGGGCAGCAGGGGACACGGGCAGUUUCUCCACAGGCCGCAGCGGGAAGCUGGGCAGGAGCCUGGCGGGCCCCGGGUUCUCUAAGAGGUUCUUCUAGAAACAGACCCCUCAGAUGCUUCCUCUCACUUCAGGACCGAGUGCUCUGUAACUGGAGCAGCCUGGAGGCCAGCUCUGGGGCUGCACAGCCCAGCCAUGAGGAAAAGCCGGCCCAGCUGCCCGCGUGUGGCCUUGACACAGCCCCUGGUGAGAGUCAAGGGCGUGGUGGACACAACACUGCUCCAACCAGGGCCCAGGGACACCCCUGACCUUGUCCGCAGGUGUUUAGCGGGGACCCACUGUGCCACAAUGGUGGCGGGAUGCCCAGGACACAGAUGAUGGAGUGGUACAUGAGCCAGGGCUGUGGGGCAGGGGUAAUGGAACCAGGGCGCCAAGCUCCGUAAUGUAGAGCAAGCCCCGCCUAAUGCAGUUUGCAAACUGCCCGAGAGGCUUUCUGGGAAGAACUGUAGGUGGCGGGAAAGGGCCAGGAGGAGCUGAGGCAGAGCUCUGCGCCCAGGAACACCCCCAGCCCACCUGCCCCCAGCAGGGGCCGGAAGUACCUUUGGUCUGAGCAAGGUCAAGGUUCACAGAAAGAGAAACAGCAAAAAGAACCAGUAAGCAGAACCGUGCAGUGAAGGCUCUCCUUUCUGUGCGGGUGCAGACGCUGCUGGAAGCAGCCUGUGCGAGGGCCUGGCCCGUGCCCUGCAGCAGGAAGCUGUCCUGCAGCCGGUCAGGGAGCACAGCCGGAGGGCAGGCCCCGCACCGCCCCUGCCCCUGGCACACUGCGCAUGCAUCUCUUCAGCUGUGGUUGGCUCAGCGAUUCCCCAGGAGCAGUUCUCCCGCAGGUGCUCCAGCUCAGCCCGGUCACCCUGUCCGAUUCCCUGUUACUGGCAAGAGCCCGGUUGUACUCGGCCACCACUGGUCCCUUCUUAGCAGAGAUCUAGCUGGUACCUCAAUGCCCUGCACCUCCAGCAGGGGGACAGCCUGGGUGUGUCACCCCAGGGAGCAGAGACCUCCCUGGGAGGUUAGGCAAGCCGGCAACGGCCUGAGCUGGGGCCCACCACCCUCGCACUACACCCCCCAGCGGGCCAGGUGGCCUGCAGCUGAGCCUCCUGGUCUUCAU